UAGAGUUUGAUCCUGGCUCAGGAUGAACGCUAGCUACAGGCUUAACACAUGCAAGUCGAGGGGCAGCAUGGUCUUAGCUUGCUAAGGCCGAUGGCGACCGGCGCACGGGUGAGUAACACGUAUCCAACCUGCCGUCUACUCUUGGACAGCCUUCUGAAAGGAAGAUUAAUACAAGAUGGCAUCAUGAGUCCGCAUGUUCACAUGAUUAAAGGUAUUCCGGUAGACGAUGGGGAUGCGUUCCAUUAGAUAGUAGGCGGGGUAACGGCCCACCUAGUCUUCGAUGGAUAGGGGUUCUGAGAGGAAGGUCCCCCACAUUGGAACUGAGACACGGUCCAAACUCCUACGGGAGGCAGCAGUGAGGAAUAUUGGUCAAUGGGCGAGAGCCUGAACCAGCCAAGUAGCGUGAAGGAUGACUGCCCUAUGGGUUGUAAACUUCUUUUAUAAAGGAAUAAAGUCGGGUAUGCAUACCCGUUUGCAUGUACUUUAUGAAUAAGGAUCGGCUAACUCCGUGCCAGCAGCCGCGGUAAUACGGAGGAUCCGAGCGUUAUCUGGAUUUAUUGGGUUUAAAGGGAGCGUAGAUGGAUGUUUAAGUCAGUUGUGAAAGUUUGCGGCUCAACCGUAAAAUUGCAGUUGAUACUGGAUAUCUUGAGUGCAGUUGAGGCAGGCGGAAUUCAUGGUGUAGCGGUGAAAUGCUUAGAUAUCACGAAGAACUCCGAUUGCGAAGGCAGCCUGCUAAGCUGCAACUGACAUUGAGGCUCGAAAGUGUGGGUAUCAAACAGGAUUAGAUACCCUGGUAGUCCACACGGUAAACGAUGAAUACUCGCUGUUUGCGAUAUACAGCAAGCGGCCAAGCGAAAGCGUUAAGUAUUCCACCUGGGGAGUACGCCGGCAACGGUGAAACUCAAAGGAAUUGACGGGGGCCCGCACAAGCGGAGGAACAUGUGGUUUAAUUCGAUGAUACGCGAGGAACCUUACCCGGGCUUAAAUUGCAGAUGAAUUACGGUGAAAGCCGUAAGCCGCAAGGCAUCUGUGAAGGUGCUGCAUGGUUGUCGUCAGCUCGUGCCGUGAGGUGUCGGCUUAAGUGCCAUAACGAGCGCAACCCUUGUUGUCAGUUACUAACAGGUUCUGCUGAGGACUCUGACAAGACUGCCAUCGUAAGAUGUGAGGAAGGUGGGGAUGACGUCAAAUCAGCACGGCCCUUACGUCCGGGGCUACACACGUGUUACAAUGGGGGGUACAGAGGGCCGCUACCACGCGAGUGGAUGCCAAUCCCCAAAACCUCUCUCAGUUCGGACUGGAGUCUGCAACCCGACUCCACGAAGCUGGAUUCGCUAGUAAUCGCGCAUCAGCCACGGCGCGGUGAAUACGUUCCCGGGCCUUGCACUCACCGCCCGUCA
rnacentral:rRNA from 1 species